GAGGAUGAAGGGUGCGUUUGGAGUUGGUUUGAAAGAGUGGAAGCAGACGGUGGUAAUAUCAGAUGUGUGGUGUUGUUCACAUAGGGAGUGUGAAUUGCGGUAGUGAUGGAGUUUUAGGAAGAAGAACAGAGGAUGGACUUCGCGGUGGUUUGGAGGUUGAGACAAAAGGGUUUGUCGGAGCGAGGACGUGAGGCGGAUGGUGAUUUUGGGUUGUUGGUGGAGUUUAAUGAAUUUUGUGGUGGAGAUGUUGUAAGAGGAUCGGAAGGAAUUUUGUUGGUUGAAGAAGAGUAUUGGUGGUUGUAUAUGAAGAAGAAUAGGUUUAUGUUCUCUUUUUUCUUUUUUUUUUCUUUUUUUUUUAUUUCGGACCUCCCCUCCCUCUUUUAUGACCGUUUUAGUGAGUGAGAGAGAGAAAGAGAGAGAGGGAGAGAGAGAGAGAGAAAAAGCCUCUCUCUUUUUGUUUUAUCUGGGAGCGUGAAGAUCUAUGAGACAGGAAAAUUUGUCAAGCCAAAGGAUGUGUUGUCACUAUCUCCCUUAUUGCCACACGUUAUCCACCCAUUUCCAGCCACAUGAGGAUGUGUGGUGUUCU
rnacentral:lncRNA from 1 species